rnacentral:rRNA from 1 species
GACGAACGCUGGCGGCGUGCCUAAUACAUGCAAGUCGAACGCAGUGGGGCCGGGUGAGUAACAAGUGGGUAACCUCCCAUCAGAGGGGAUACCACUUGGCAACAGGUGCUAAACCGAUACUGAUGGAUGGCCCUGCGGUGCAUUAGCUAGUUGGUGGGGUAACGGCUCACCAAGGCCACGAUGCAUAGCCGACCGGAGAGGGUGAUCGGCCACACUGGGACUGGGACACGGCCCAGACUCCUACGGGAGGCAGCAGUAGGGAAUCUUCGGCAAUGGACGAAAGUCUGACCGAGCAACGCCGCGUGAGUGAAGAAGGUUUUCGGAUCGUAAAACUCUGUUGUUAGAGAAGCGGUAUCUAACCAGAAAGCCACGGCUAACUACGUGCCAGCAGCCGCGGUAAUUC